GUCGAACGAAGCAUAUAAAAGGAAUUUCUUCGGAGAGGAAUUUUAUAUGACUGAGUGGCGGACGGGUGAGUAACGCGUGGGCAACCUACCCCACACAGGGGGACAACAGUUGGAAACGACUGCUAAUACCGCAUAGGCGCACAGCUUCGCAUGAAGCAGUGUGGAAAACCGAGGUGGUGUGGGAUGGGCCCGCGUCUGAUUAGCUGGUUGGCGGGGUAACGGCCCACCAAGGCGACGAUCAGUAGCCGGCCUGAGAGGGUGGACGGCCACAUUGGGACUGAGACACGGCCCAAACUCCUACGGGAGGCAGCAGUGGGGAAUAUUGCACAAUGGGGGAAACCCUGAUGCAGCGACGCCGCGUGAGCGAAGAAGUAUUUCGGUAUGUAAAGCUCUAUCAGCAGGGAAGAAAAUGACGGUACCUGACUAAGAAGCCCCGGCUAAAUACGUGCCAGCAGCCGCGGUAAUACGUAUGGGGCAAGCGUUAUCCGGAUUUACUGGGUGUAAAGGGAGCGCAGGCGGCUUGGCAAGUCUGAUGUGAAAGGCUGGGGCUCAACCCCAGGACUGCAUUGGAAACUGUUAGGCUGGAGUGUCGGAGAGGUAAGCGGAAUUCCUAGUGUAGCGGUGAAAUGCGUAGAUAUUAGGAGGAACACCAGUGGCGAAGGCGGCUUACUGGACGACAACUGACGCUGAGGCUCGAAAGCGUGGGGAGCAAACAGGAUUAGAUACCCUGGUAGUCC
rnacentral:rRNA from 1 species